rnacentral:rRNA from 1 species
CGGGCUCUUCGGAGCUAGUGGCGGACGGGUGAGUAACGCGUGAGAAUCUGCCUUCAGGUCUGGGACAACAGAAGGAAACUUCUGCUAAUCCCGGAUGAGCCCUAGGGUAAAAGAUAAAUUGCCUGGAGAUGAGCUCGCGUCUGAUUAGCUAGUUGGUGUGAUAAAAGCAUACCAAGGCGACGAUCAGUAGCUGGUCUGAGAGGAUGAGCAGCCACACUGGGACUGAGACACGGCCCAGACUCCUACGGGAGGCAGCAGUGGGGAAUUUUCCGCAAUGGGCGAAAGCCUGACGGAGCAAGACCGCGUGGGGGAGGAAAGCUCUAGGGUUGUAAACCCCUUUUCUUUGGGAAGAAGUACUGACGGUACCAAAGGAAUCAGCCUCGGCUAACUCCGUGCCAGCAGCCGCGGUAAUACGGAGGAGGCAAGCGUUAUCCGGAAUGAUUGGGCGUAAAGCGUCCGCAGGUGGCCAUGUAAGUCUGCUGUCAAAACCCAGGGCUUAACUCUGGUCAGGCAGUGGAAACUACAAAGCUAGAGUUCGGUAGGGGCAAAGGGAAUUCCCGGUGUAGCGGUGAAAUGCGUAUAUAUCGGGAAGAACAUCGGUGGCGAAAGCGCUUUGCUAGACCAAAACUGACACUCAGGGACGAAAGCUAGGGGAGCGAAUGGGAUUAGAUACCCCAGUAGUCCUAGCCGUAAACGAUGGAUACUAGGUGUUGCCUGUAUCGACCCAGGCAGUGCCGUAGCUAACGCGUUAAGUAUCC